UCCUCACUAAUUCGCAGGUGGCAGCUGCGUUUCAGCGGGAUGACGGUAUGAGAGGCUGGUUGAUAGGAGACAACAAGUAUCCACUGAAGUGGCGGCUACUUUCACCACUACUCAACCCCAAGACCCCUGUCGAAGCUCUCCAAAAUGGAUGUUGGACUUCCAGAGGAAAGAGUACAGGGUUUGAGGGAAGCAGAUGCUGAACUUGAAGCACCAGUGUUGGAGGUUGCAGAUGCUGCAAGUUCCAGGCAGGAGCCAGCAGGUGCAUUCUUGCACAGCAGCUGUGUCUUAGCUGCAGGAGCCACCAGCUAUCUGCUUCAGUGUAGCUGGCAGCCAAGAAGAAACAAAUGUUUUUUCUUCCAUUUGUCCACUUGCCUGAUCGUUGUCUCCCAGUCCAGUAAACUGCUAUCCCACCUCUCUGCGUUUGUCAGUAAAGAGUCACAAUUACACUGGAAAACAUUUAACGCUUCCAGGGCAUUGCACAAGGACAUGACAUGACCCAAGGAGGCAAAGUAAAAUUUCUCUGAUAUAGUGCAUCAGCAAUAAAAAUCUAAUGGCCUGUGUAGUGCUAGUUAUAUACUCACUGUCAAUACAUGUAAAAAGUCAAAUUAAAAACUGGCAAUCUGAGGUCCAGGAAUACAGAUAGAUGCCUCUAGAAGCUGGCUUGAAUAGCAAACAUACAAGAAAGUAUGGUAUUCUACACAUUUCAUAGACAAAAUUUAAAAAUUCUCUGUCCUAGAAACAAACAAAUAUGUAUCCCCUGGCAAAGGCUUACACAAUAAUUAUAAACAAUUUUAAGACCCUGGACAUUGUGUUCGUGUGGAGUGAUCUACAUGGAUAGUAUGUUCAAUAAGAUAUUGUAGCAAAUAUCAGUGAAAAUUCAGGCAAACUAGAUGUAGCCAGAAUCCAGCUUAAGAAUGUAAUAUUCUAAGAACAUCAAGAAUAUCCAGUAAUUAAUUUAUAUACAGUUUCAUCAUAAUUUGAUGAGUAGUUCUGAAGCUAUAGCCCAGUGUAGGUAUUCUUCACAUUUUGCUAUGACCAACUGAUAGCUAACAGACCAAGGAAUUAUAUAUUAUACCAUUGACCACUUCACAUGUCAAAUGGUUCAACUCUGUUGCACAUAACUACCUCAUGAUUAUAUGCCUAGGUAACUGAGUGAGGUUGGGUGCGUA